UAUUGAAUUGCACGUCUUAAGUGAUGGCCAGGUAUGUAUGAUGAGUUAUAUUUAUUUAUAUAAUGAAAAUGUAUAAUAAUAAUACACGAUGAAAAUGUCAGAAGUCAAACACUUUUCAAUCAAUUCAAGAAAGCAUCCUAAAGUUCAUGUUCUCCGGAGCCUAAAUAUGCCGGAUUUGUACUAUAUGAAUGUAUUUUAAUAAUAAUUAUUUUAGAACUUGGUAUAUCAAUGUCAAUUCAUAAAAAUGAUGUAGAGGCAGUGGCAGAUUGUCGAAGGAGAGUAAUCUUACUUCAGGCUUCUUUGAGCUGUAUUGAAGUGUGUGGAUUAGACAAAUCUCCUUUA